AACCCUCAAGCUCAGCUUGGUGUUGGGGAUCGGCAAGGCGGCCUCCGGGUCGCGCCGUCCCCCAAAUAUAGUGGCGGUCUCGCUGUAGCUUCCUCUGCGUAGUAAUACACCUCGCUCUGGAGUCUCGGUGCGACCACGCCGUAAAACCCCCAACUUUUUCUGG
rnacentral:misc_RNA from 1 species